AGGUCGUCCUGAACCCCUGAAUUGGUGUGUGCGAGGGGCCGGCCGGGACGUGAUCCCGACCGGCCCUUCU
rnacentral:antisense_RNA from 1 species